GAUGAAGAACGUAGCGAAAUGCGAUACGUAAUGUGAAUUGCAGAAUUCAGUGAAUCAUCGAGUCUUUGAACGCACAUUGCGCCCUCUGGUAUUCCGGAGGGCAUGCCUGUCCGAGCGUCAUUGCUGCCCUCAAGCACGGCUUGUGUGUUGGGCCCCACCCCCCGAUCCCGGGGGGCGGGCCCGAAAGGCAGCGGCGGCACCGCGUCCGGUCCUCGAGCGUAUGGGGCUUUGUCACCCGCUCUGUAGGCCCGGCCGGCGCUUGCCGAUCAACCAAACUUUUUUCCAGGUUGACCUCGGAUCAGGUAGGGAUACCCGCUGAACUUAAGCAUAUCAAUAAGCGGAGGA
rnacentral:misc_RNA from 1 species